GAAGAAGAGGGAGAGUUAACAGUGACCGCAGGGCCGCCAUCCCUGCCGCGUCCUUCCUUCUCCCCCCCGAAGCAGGAGCGGAGCGUCCCCCGGAGAAGUGCGGGAUGUCACCGCCGAGAGCCGACCCGCAGAGCCAACGUGGUACUGGGCUCGUCAUCUCCAAAAGGUUUAAUGAUCCCAGGGAUCCAGCAGAGAAGGGAAUGUGGCUCAAGCCUGUGCACAACAGCGAGGUGAGGAACUGGUGUCCACGCGAGAAAAGCUCUUCCAGAGGCAGAAACAGCCUUGAAAUGAGCUAAUUUGCCGGGCCCCGAGGCAGCUCACAUUCCUCCAGCAUCUUUAGCAUCGGCACCAUAUUUGGCAGUCGGCAUCCCCGCAAGGCCAAGCUCUUAUCCAGAGGGAUUAGCGGAGCCAAAGAAAAGAAGUUUUACAUUGAAAAUGAAGACAGGGAAGAAAAGCAACCCUAAACCAAAACCCGGGGAGAACUGGUGAGGAACCGCAGAACCAGUUCCACGUGAUUCUGCCCCUGACUAUUUCCAGGUAACUCCACAGAGGUAGAAGGGAGCUGCUAAAAGUGAGAAUGGCUUUUUCUUUGGCAGAUUUUGCCGGGAUUUUUCCUGUUGAACAAACAGAAGAGGCUGGGAACGGUGUCUCUCGCUUGCAUUUGUAUCUGAGGCUCGAACCCUGAGAGUUCAAGCCCUCCUGGAUGGCCCUGAGAAAGAGUGCUCUUUGGGCUGAAAAAGCUUCCAGCAUCCCAGCACCUUCCUACCCUGGUCUGGCAAACAGGAUCUCUCCCGGCAUCCCCAGCGGAUCCGGAUCCAGGACUCUGCAGACAAUGCCUAUUGUCUCAGUUUAAUUGCAGCAGCUCAUUAAGGACUGGGAGAAGCAAAGCCCAGCUCUUCCUCCUGGAGGAAUGGCCGACCCUGGUUUGGAGGGGGCUGGGUUUGAGCAGCUUGUCCCUGGUUUGUAGAAGUCACCUUUUUUAAGGGGUUUUAACCUUUUUUUGGUGGAUCUAAUGUUUGUGGUGGUGCAGCAUCCUCAAAGCUGGUGUGUUUGGCAGAAAUCCCGCUCCCACCAACUCCGAGGCGGGAUGUGGGGCUCCCCAGGGAUAGGCAAACCCUGUGCUGGGAUGGUUUUGCUUUACAACCAGCUCAUAACUGGUGAAGCAACGUGGGGAACUGGGUCUGCUGCCAGUUCCCCCUCUCCUCAUCCACAAAACCUCAUCUGAACACUUUGGACUGGAGUAGGGGAAAACUUUGAUUUAUUUUAUUUAAUUUUUUUGGCCACGCACCCUGCCUGCCCCAUUCCCUGGGAAAGAGACAUGGGAAACUGCCAGAAACAGCCAGCCCAGGCCUAUUCUUCUGCUGACAUUUCUUCU